rnacentral:rRNA from 1 species
UACGUAGGGUGCAGGCGUUGUCCGGAAUUAUUGGGCGUAAAGAGCUCGUAGGCGGUCUGUCGCGUCUGCUGUGAAAACUCAGGGCAUAACCCUGAGCUUGCAGUGGGUACGGGCAGACUAGAGUGCGGUAGGGGAGACUGGAAUUCCUGGUGUAGCGGUGAAAUGCGCAGAUAUCAGGAGGAACACCGGUGGCGAAGGCGGGUCUCUGGGCCGUAACUGACGCUGGAGGAGCGAAAGCAUGGGGAGCGAACAGG